ensembl:lncRNA
CUGGGGGCCGCGCCUGUCAGGCCGCGUUCGUCAGUGGGCGGCCGGCGCUGAGGGGAGCCAGAGAUUUGCCUGGUUUUGUUCCUGAAGGACUGCUAUGAGUGGGAGGUCUCAAGUGACCAUGGUGGUUUAAAGAAAGAUCUUGUCACGUGACUCUGAAGUAGAGCAAGGGUUGCAGCAGACUUCAACUUUCAGUCCUACAUUGCUUGUUCAAGAAAGGUCUAGAGAAGAAAGUCCUAAAUAGCAUGGUGAAUUAAAAAAAAAAAAAAAAAAAAGAUAAUUGCAGGAGUAUCAUCACAGAAUGGCCUGGGUUGAAAAGGACCACAAAGAUCAUCCAGUUUCAACCCCCUGCUAUGUGCAGGGUCGCCAACCACCAGACCAGGCUGCCCAGAGCCACAUCCAGCCUGGCCUUGAAUGUCUCCAGGAAUGGGGCAUCCACAACCUCCUUGGGCAACCUGUUCCAGUGUGUCACCGCUCUUUGUGUGGAAAAACUUCUUCCUAAUAUCCAACCUAAACCUCCCCUGUCUCAGUUUAAAACCAUUCCCCCUUAUCCUAUCACUGUCCACCCUUGUAAACAGCCGCUCCCCUUCCUGUUUUUACUCUCCCUUCAAGUACUGGAAGGCCACAGUGAGGUCUCCCCAGAGCCUUCUCUUCUCCAAACUAAACAAGCCCAGUUCCCUUAACAUUUCCUCAUAGGAGAGGUGCUCCAGCCCUCUGAUCAUCUUAGUGGCCCUCCUCUGGGCCCGCUCCAAGAGUAGUAAGUCAAUAGCUGAAAAGUGAUGUGAAAAAGAAGGCAGCUAGAAGAAAUAAAGGAUUUCUUAAAACCACUCCCACCCAGCAAUGCUGUUUCUUGUAUCUUUAGUUUCAUCUGCUUCUCGAAGUCUAUCUUGCCAAAUAUGCCUACCUUUCAAAAUUACUCCAGCUUCGGAAUGAAAGUGUCAGCAGUUGCAAGACUCUUGAGGGUAUGAUUAUCUUAUUUCCUGUCUGUCUAUUACAUUUAAACAUCUGCCAAACUGGAAAGGUCAUUUUUCUACUAUGACUCUGGAGUACACUUAAUGAGACUCUUGUUACUGACUGACCUCUUGUACCUGGAGAGAUUAAACAUCUUGGACAAGUUUUCAUUGCUUGAAUCUGUGCCAAAUCCUUUUAAUGCGUGAAGGACUCGAUCACUUUUAAACCAGUGGUAUAGAGCAAACAAGCUUCGGUCUGAUGCCAGGGGGCUGCUUGAUUUUUGCAGUAACAAAACAGAAACUUAUAAGCACCUUGGGUACAGCAAAAGAAAAUAUAUCUGUGCUGAUCUUUGUCAACAGUCUCAUCAGAUUGCUAGGAACGUCCCUCCUACCAGGCUACUUUGCAGCUGUGAAUGAAAGCUCAUUAUCCGUGGCCAGUGCUUACCAUAAGAAGCAUAACCUUAGCUUUCAAAAUAAGGGACUUUUAAAGUAUUUAUGUUGUUAAAAUUGAAGUAAAUCAGAUCAUGUUGCUGUGUUGCUUUUAGCAACUUGCACCUACUCUACUUCCAUCGUACUUAGUGAGAUUUUUCAGCUACAUUUAAAGACUAAGUCUAGAAUGGAGCUCUGUUUAUGAAACACUGGCUAUUAAUGUUUCACAGCAUUUGGCAAUGCUGGUUUUUCUGAUUAUAUUCAACCUUGCUGAACAGGAAUGUUUGCAUCAUUUAAGAGCAAUUUUUUUUUUUUUUUUUGCACUGCCUGUAUUUUGUAUCUUCUCAAACAAAGAGAUGAUGACAGAUGAUGCCUCAAAGAUAAGUAACAUUCUACUAUAUGACCUCUGCCUACAAAAAGCACAGCUUCCCUGGAGAAGACGAUCCCUAUGCCUGAGACAACACUGCUUGUGAAUUCCUAUGCUGAGUGAAUUUCAAAGUUCUAGUUUCCCUACUUUGGGCAGCCACAUCACUCUUCUGUUUUCCUGCAGGAAACAUUGGACUGAGAUUCAUAGCCUUGUUCAUGCUUCCCCAUAUCUUACGUUUUUCCACUUAGAGAGUUUGGUGUCAGCAAAAUCAAAGAAAAUCUCUGAAUAAUUGGCAUUGAUAUAUUCUAUUUUUUUUUUUGUCACUAUGCUAUUUGCAAAAUGAUUGUCAAUGCAGUACAUGAUCUUUUGUCAAAAAACCCUGCAGUUAAAAGUUUCAUUUAUUACACACUGACUGAAGCUUAUACCUAUCUCAGCUGCAUUUAAUGCUACCUUUGUGUUGUUAAUUAAUCUGAAAAGAGUGAAGGCAAUCUCAUUUUUUCCAAAAGACUGUAAAUGGCCUCUUGUAACCGUUUAGCAGAGAAUGACCUCCUACAAGCUCCUUUUGCUGCAUCUGCACAAUGCUGCUGAGAGGGAACUGCUGGUUGCAAAGAGGAAAUACAGCAAAGCUGGACAGUUGUACUGCAGCCCAGAGAGAAGUGCUGUGUAAUGCCAGUAUAACUAGAAAGAUGAAGUCCUCUGCAAACCAACUGUUGAGUGUCAGCAGUUCAUGCUAGCAGAACUUCUGCCAGUAAAACUGCCUUCCUCUCAAACAAGGCCAGCAACAAAAGCACACAGAAAGAUACAGGUUUAUGGGAAUAUCUGUAGGGUGCUGGUGAGGAGGGCAACUGGGCUCUCUCCUUGACUCUUACACUGCUGUCCCUGUACAAACAGCUCCAAGGACGCCUGCCCACCAGGGUCCUGAUGCCAUGUGCCUGGCCACUGCUGGGCUUGUUUGAACCAGAAAGUUUUACUGGCAGAAGUUCUGCUGGCAUGUGCUGUAGCCAUUGCUGUGUUGGCAGGAUGCGCCACAUUUGGCUGUUUUUAAAGAUGCAAGAUGUCCUCAGAACAUCAGGCUUUUAUCAGCAGAGGAUGACAGCAUUAUGGAAUGCUAACCCAGAUUACCUUGUGCAAUGUUUGGUAGGUUGCCUUCUGGUAAUUACUUGCAGCAUAUUGUGGAGCUGCUGUUGUAUAUUGUGAGAUACCAUCAGUUCCAUCAUAAAAUCUGUGUAAAUAUUGGGUCAGAUUUUCAAAAAUUUUUCGAUCUUGUGCAAUUGCCUAUUUUUACAUGUGCUGUUUUCCCAUAUUGCAGAUUUCUCAUUGCCAGAACCCCAGAUUGUAUCAAACAGCAUCACUCUCUUGUUCAUUUAGGGCAGAUGUAAGCAUUCUUUCUUAUCUAAAGAGCAGCCUAAAGUAUUGGGUACUGGGGACAAGUGGAACAUAGAGACAGUGAAUAGAAGCUGUUUGCAGUAAGUGUUUGCUAAACUACUUUACAAGAACAACUUGUAGUUUUGAUCCAUACUGUGAGCACUGGAAGAGAGAAACAUUCAGUGUUGGAUGUUAAACCCAUGCCAACAUAUCCACUCUGAUUUAGGAGCUGCUUAAUGAGGAGACAGGAGAACUAGGUGGUGCCAACUUUUUGGAAAGCUGUGCUGAUGUGGGCAUUUUGGCAUUACUUGGGGAGCUAUCUCCAGUGAGGUACAUAAAGUUAAGUUUUUCCUGCUGCACACUCUUUUUAUGCUGGGUGACAUACUGAAAAUAAGAGAUGAACCUGAUGCAAUGGACUUUGCUAGCUGUGGGGGAACAGUAAAUAAGGUUUAUAUCCAAUUCUGUCCUAUCUUGUUUUGAAUACAUAAAAUGAAAGCAGUGCUUCUCCAUGGUGAUCUCUCUAGACAGUAUUUUACAUCAGUGUUGCUUGGGAGAAAGUCCAUGCUUGCCUCCCCAUCUAUCCUGUUGUUAUUAAUGAUGUUACAUAGCCAACUCUGGCAACAGAGACAAGGCAGGUUUGGCAAACUGUAGGUAAAAAAAACAAAACAUUGUAACAGGAAAAAAUAACAGAAUUAUCCACCAAGUCACAAAACUCUGUAAUUUUGUAGUCUCCUGCAACAAAGAAACAAACAAACAAAAAAACACAUAGGGUUUCACAGGGUUCCUUCAUUUGCUGAGUGUAAUUUUGUCCUUUCCAAAUUCAGUGCAAAGUCAGUUAUAGGGUUUUGGGUUUUCCCAUGAUGCUUCCAGGUAUUACAGACACGUGCAUUGCAUAAGUAGCCCUUGUAUACAUAGAAUAUAUAGAUGGCUGGAAGAUUCCUAGAGCUUAGAGACCACAGGUAUGUGUGGAACCUGCAGAUCUGCAUAGAAAGCCACACAUGUAACCAGAGUACCUGCACAAUGACCCUGACAUGGUAUGGACAUAUAGCACCUGUGGUUUGCAGGCAGGCAGCAUACAUUCAGUAAGUGCAGUGUGUUCUGGACACAUCCAUUUUAUCACACGUUCACAGAUACUCUGCUUAACACAUGCACAGAAGAUCUGGCAUGUCUGUGUAUGUGCUGGGCAGCACAUGGACUGAUAAUUCUGUGUUAGAUUUCAUGGCUAUAAUUCAGAAAGUCCAAGCUGAACUAUUUAUUGAAAACAUAUACUCAUUUGGAACUGCUGUUCCUAAAAAUCAUCUGAAGCAACUUGAGUUUGUUCCAAUGAUACUACAUUUUACUGGUUUAAAGUAAGUGUGUUCUGUAAAUGAUGAAAGUGCUCACUCAUUGAUUUGCAAAUGCCGUCUUUGUGAUCUGUGAAAGUCCUGGUUUUGACUUCUUGGACUUUCACCCGAUACUGACAUUUCAAUAUUCUUAAAAUACAUUUCCCCUUUCCUCCCACCAGCAGCUGAUAGAUACAAUGUGAUAGGAGAAUGUGUUAGGAGGAAAGGCAAGGAAUGCUUAUUUAUAAACUUUUGACAAAGUAAACCCCAUCACUAUGUUAAUGGACCAGCCAUAUCACAGUGAAUACCCUUCCUGAAUCAGCUACCUGUUUGGGGAGCUUCCUAAGGGGUUCUGUAUCUCAUUAGUUUUUACUCUAGCUAUGCCUUCUCCCCAGAAACCCAUUCAAUUUAUCCUUUUCUUAGUAUCCUUCACCAUGGACAUAUGUCAAUGAUGAGAGCAGUAUCCCAACUAUUAUGCCGUCUAAUGAAUGCACAAUCAUAGUGAGGAGUGCAUGACAAGCUGGUCAUAAAAGGAACACCUUGGGGGAGUAAGCUUAGGGAAUUUAUUGCAGGAAGAGAAACUGCCUUUUAUUCUUCU